UAAAAAAACUUUUGACAGUAUGUGACUAGAAAUAUCCCAUUACCAUAAAGCUACAAACAGAUUUAUGCUCCUAAGAGCAAAGUUAGGGAAGCAAAAAUAAUAACCACACCAGUGAUAAGCACCAAGACAGAACUUUUUUGCACUUAGGGCCUGAUUGGCUCUAUUUAAACAAAACCUCUACCAACAGAGGACCAAAAUAACACCUUAUUUGGCAAAAAAAAAAAAAAAAAAGAGAGAGAUAAAAAUAUACAUACAGAGGUCUGGAAACAGUGGAGAAUGCCCACUUAAAAAAUUAAACAAUGAAAUUAUUCAUAUUUGUUUUUUAGUUAAUGUGACAUUUGCAAAAUAUAUUCAUAUGUCACUUUUCUUCUUUAGUUCGCCUUAUACAAUUCAGGUUGUGCCAUGUUUGUUAAUGUUGUCACACUACUGUAAAUCAAUAUGGUGAACAAUGGGAGUUUGCUGUAAUGAAUCCGAACCAUGAGAGCUAGAUCCAGGAGCCCAAACAACCUUAGUUGCAACUCAUUAAGCAGUGAAACAGAUUAUUUAUCUUUGUAAUUUUUACAAGCCGUAGCCAGAUAUCAUGUGUGUGUGUGCGUGCGUGUGCACGUGCAAGUAUGCCAGAGCAGUGAGAGCACAACUCAGAAGGGAGUGACAUAAACAGGCUCACACACAAGGACCCAAAAGAUUUGGGCAGCCGACACUGAAUUUCCCCAAAACAAACCUGAAGCUGAGCAAUGGGGGAAUUCGGGGAUCUGUCAUCACAAUAUAGAAUCAGUGACAGAUUUGGAGAACAAAGACUAAGUAAGGCAGGAUGCCUCAGCCACAACAUUCCCAUGACACUGGAGGACACAAAGCAGUGACAGCCACUCUUCAGGCAGGGAUCAGGGACAGACUCUGCCUGCACUUGGAGGGAUUCCCUGGGUCUGCGGCCGAGGGUUCCUGCAAAGGCAAAGGGUCCCCAAAGGGCAUCUGCAGUAGCCUCAGGCAGUGGCCCUCCACCUCACUCAGUGAGAAUGUCUUAGGGACCCCAGAGUGUGGCCCUGGGUAUCCCCUCCUCCUGGUCUCAACCGUUCUCUGGAUACAGAUACUAUCCCUUCCAGAGACUUGGUCAAAAACUAUUGCUACCUUCCACUUCCAACUCAGUCUCAGGAAGAGGGUGUUCUCGUCCCCGUGGGGUCCCUGAGUUUGAGGUAAUGCCGACAUACUGUAU
rnacentral:lncRNA from 1 species